AUGGUUGGCCUCCUGGGUGGUCUUGUUAAUGAGUUCAUGUCCUUGGAUGAUGAAGACAGCUCAUGGAUGUCCCGUGUGUUAGAGAACCAACUAAAGGGUUUAUCUUCUGCUGCUGGGAAGACUGCCGGGAAGACUGCAAGCACCCGUCCUGCAUCCCGCUCGCGUGAAGUAAAAGAUACCGGCAAGCAAGCUGUCGAAGUUUCAGAUUUUGAUCAUGAGGAUAGUGAUGGUGGCAGUGAUGGUCACUCUGACGAAGAUCUAGAUUUUCACGUUCAUUACCAUGGUUCUUUAGGUGGGCCGAACGCCCAUUAG
rnacentral:rRNA from 1 species